AACGAACGCUGGCGGCAUGCCUAACACAUGCAAGUCGAACGAGACCUCCGGGUCUAGUGGCGCACGGGUGCGUAACGCGUGGGAACCUGCCCUUAGGUUCGGAAUAACUCUCCGAAAGGGGUGCUAACACCGGACAAUGUCUUCGGACCAAAGAUUUAUCGCCUUUGGAUGGGCCCGCGUUGGAUUAGCUGGUUGGUAGGGUAAAAGCCUACCAAGGCGACGAUCCAUAGCUGGUUUGAGAGGAUGAUCAGCCACACUGGGACUGAGACACGGCCCAGACUCCUACGGGAGGCAGCAGUGGGGAAUAUUGGACAAUGGGCGAAAGCCUGAUCCAGCAAUGCCGCGUGAGUGAUGAAGGCCUUAGAGUUGUAAAGCUCUUUUACCCGGGAUGAUAAUGACAGUACCGGGAGAAUAAGCUCCGGCUAACUCCGUG
rnacentral:rRNA from 1 species